GCUGUUCCAGGGGCCUGGGUGGGAGCAGCCCAGGAGCCUGCGUCUCCCCUCCUCGGCCCUGGGAGGCGGCUGGACUGUGCCACACGGGACGGGUGCUGAGGGACCGCUGGGUGCCCACCUCCCUGACCCCUCCUGCAGGGGUGCCUGCCAAGCAGCCUGGGCACUGCCGUCUGGAAGAUGCGCCGUGCCGGUUCUACACGGUGUUCCCUUGCUCCAGGCAGAAAGGCAGAGGAGCCUGGCAACCAUGUCCCAAGUUGGAAGGAAGCUCUGAGAACCCUGCUCCCCAGAAAUCCUGAGCAAAGGCUGGCUGGCCUACAGGAGCAGUCUAGAGUAAGAGCUGUUUCCUGGCAGAGGAUCAAGUAUCCAGGUCACAUUGAAGAGACAUGUGAGGACUCCAAUGGAGAACAAUUUGAGAGUGAGAAACCAGUUCUGGAGGCCAGGAAGUUCAAGAUCAAGGUGUUGGCAAGUUCAGUGUCUGCUGAGGACCUGAUCUCUCUUCUUUCAAGAUGGCAUCUUGUUGCUCUUCCCUCCAGAGAGUAGAAAUGCUGGAACCUCACAUGGAGGAAAAAAUGAAAAGGACCAAUGCUAGUUCCCUUCAGCCUUUUUAUGAACUCACUAAUUCCCAUUGAGGGCUCCACAUACAUGACUUAAUCACCUCCUAAAUGCCUGACUUCCUAAUACUCUCAUUUUGAAGAUUAAGUUUCAACAUAUGAAUUUGGGGGUCAUAUUCAGAACAUAGCACUUAUGAUACUAUCUCAAAUCAUAGACUGCUUUCUCGGUGGGCAUCUAUCUCAGUUUCUUUUCUGUUGUUAUUACAGAGUACCUGAGCCUGAGUAAUUUAUAAAGAAAAUACAUUUAUUUUGGCUCAUGGCUCUAUAGGCUGGGAAGUCCAAGAUUGGGCGGUUACAUCUGGUUGGCUCCUGGUGCGGGCCUCCUGCCGCAUCAUAACAAGGUAGAGAAGUGAAAGGGAAGGUGGGCUUGUAGGAAGGGGGCAAAGCAUGAAGGGCAGGCUUGCUUUAUAGAAACUGGGACACAGCACCCCACAGGAUGAGUGUAUAAAGGCUAGACAGACAAGGGGAUUGUUGUGUUGAACCUGAAAAGUCCCCUCACCUGGCAAUGCUCUCUGUUCCCUGUGAGAAGAAGGGGUUUCUUUUCUUCUGGGAUGAUUCAUCCCUUCACCUGUGGCCUUCCCUAGAGCCCAUCCUUGUGCCAUUCUGCUCUCCAGGCACAUCUCUCUCAGAUGAAUUCCCUCUUCCCUCUUCCUCUGGCCCCUCCUGUUUAUUUAUCUGUUUCCUCACCACUGUGUAAUCAGGUAGGCCCCACUGCUGUGACCUCUGGAAUAAUGAUUGAAUCUGCCCUAUCCUCUCCACAGUGAUGCCUGGGACCCAGCUGAGAUCUCCAUCAUCUCUCAAAACAACUGUGCACUGACCUCCUGACCUAAGCCCAGCCUCUGCCCACUCAGACUGACCUUCACGCAGCUGCACAAUGCUGCAUUUGGAAGCCGGACCUGACCACAUUCGUUUCCCUCUGUUGGUCUGAUUGCCUAAAAAAUGAAGCUCUGGGAUAGGUUGCUUGUCUGACACUGUGUUCCUCUCCUGCUCCUCUUGCCACCUCCCUGGGACUCUGCCCUGCAAGAGCAUGCUGCAGCUCUCUGCACAUGCCAUCAGUCCUGUGCCUUCUCAUUUCCGUUAACAUUGCCACCUCCUUCCAGAAUGCUUUUCUGCUCACAUUAACCUGUCUGACUCCCACAGAUUCAUGUUCUGGAGAAAUGAAAAUGCUGUCUCAGUGGAAUGUUGAUUAGCUGGAGUGGAGACCCAAGAUCUCUGUCCAGGCAGGGCCAUCAAAACAUAGAAGUGCUCUUGGCUUUCCAAAAUCUGCACAUCUCCAACUUUUCUUUUAGCUAGAGGUGGCCCUGUGAUUGAUGAGUGACCAGCCAUGUGUGGAGAAAAGCAAUGUGAACAACUUCUGACUUCGCUGUUAAAGAAAAUUGGUCUGUCCCCCAUUUCCUUGCAUUCCCAUUCUUACUGGCUGAAAUUCAAAGCUGAUAAAUGGAGCUAGAGCAGAUAGCUGGGAAAAUGAGUUGAGGGUCUUACAUUAAGACUUGCCAGCAAGAAGAAGAAUUUUUCCAGGGUUCCUGACACCGCCAAAUUGUUCGAUCAGCUCUGAACUCUAUACUGAGAUUCUUUAAGUAUGAGAGACAUGAACUUUGACUGGCUUAAGUGAGCUAUUGAGGUCUCUUUGCUAUUGUGACCUAACUCAGGGGUCAGCAAAUAACACUCUGUGCGCAAAAUCUGACUACGAUCUGUUUUUGUAACUAAAUAAAAUUUCACUGAAACACACCCAUGCUCAUUUAUUUAGGUAUGGCUGCUUUCAUGAUACCAUGGCACAUUUGACUACCUAUAGACAGUGAUAUGAUGUGGAUCUGUGUCCCCACCCAAAUCUCAUGUUGAAAUGUAAUCCCCCUGUGCUGGAGGUGGGAUCUGGUGGGAGGUGAAAUGGGGGCGGUUUCUCAAGAAUGGUUUAGCUCCAUUUCUCUGCUGCUGUAUUCAUGAUAGUAAGUGAGUGAGUUGUCACAAGAUCUGAUUGUGUAAAAGUGUGUGGCACCUCCCCCUUCUCUCUUGCUCCUUCUCGGCCAUGUAAGACCUGCCUGCUUCCCCUUCACCUUCCACCAUGAUUGUAAAUUUCAU
rnacentral:lncRNA from 10 species